AAGAAAGUAACUGCCGCCCCGCACAGGGGCAACGCUAAUAGACCGAUACGAAACCGCGGAUGCCAGCGAAGAAAAAACAAAAAAACCAAACCAUAAGCCUGCU
rnacentral:sRNA from 1 species